rnacentral:lncRNA from 10 species
CCUUAAUCUGGUGCCGGAUGGGGUGGGGCACGGUGCGGGCUUCCGGCGGAAGCGCUGGAAGCAAGAUGGCGGCCGCCGAGAGGGUUCACAAAGGGUAGGGUGGUGUGGAGCAAGGCAGGGUCCUCGCAGGCAGUGCCAAGAUUGAGCUGGGGGUGGGCAGAGUGGGCGGGGUGCGGACCCAUGGCCCUACGCAUCCUGGGCCAGGUCUCUUGUGGUGCUUCACGCUCUCGACCUGUGAGUGGUGCCUGCUAGAGCUGCCCAGAUCCCUUUUCCCUACCCCUUCUGACCCUGGACCCAGAGUGGUGGUUGCGAUCUGCUACCGUGACGUCAGCCCUCAUUCGUUCGUUCCACAAACUCCACAGCUCUGGUCCAUUAGAGGAAGGAGGUCCCAGAAUAGCUGGGAAAUUACGAGAACAGCCUCACUGCACGAGUUGGUGAAUGCUGUGAUGGCGAUUGUAUGAUGGACGGUGAUGUUGAAACCAGACUGGGGAAUGACCGCCCCAUCCGGAGAGGUUAGGAAUUUUAGACCCAGUUCUGCUACUGACUUUCUGUGUGGACACAAACUCACUGAGCCUUCAG